rnacentral:misc_RNA from 1 species
AAUUCUCAACCCUCUUCACUUUUGUUGGAGCAAGGGCUUGGACUUGGAGGCUUUGCCGGCCCGUUCGGCUCCUCUCAAAUGCAUCAGUAUGUCUUGUUGCGACGUGCGCCUCGGUGUGAUAAUUAUCUACGCUGUGGUGUGGCCGCUUCUGUUGAGACAGGCUUUCAAACCGUCCGAAAGGACAAUUCAUCAAA